AGAAUGAACGCUGGCGGCAUGGAUUAGGCAUGCAAGUCGAACGGUAACGAUAGAAGCUUGCUUCUAGGCGACGAGUGGCGAAAGGGUGAGGAACGCGUGAGCAAGCUGCCUCAAAGUCGGGGAUAGCCCGAGGAAACUCGGAUUAAUACCGGAUGUGGCCAUUUUUCCGCAUGGUUAAAUGGCUAAAAUUUUUUGCUUUGAGAUGCGCUCGCGCCCCAUCAGCUAGUUGGUAAGGUAACGGCUUACCAAGGCUACGACGGGUAGCUGGACUGAGAGGUUGACCAGCCACACUGGGACUGAGACACUGCCCAGACUCCUACGGGAGGCUGCAGUCGAGAAUCUUCCACAAUGCGGGAAACCGUGAUGGAGCGAUGCCGCGUGCAGGAUGAAGGCUUUCGGGUCGUAAACUGCUGUCACUCGGGAUGAACAAAAUGACGUAACCGAGAGUGGAAGCCACGGCUAACUACGUGCCAGCAGCCGCGGUAAUACGUAGGUGGCAAGCGUUAUUCGGAUUUAUUGGGCGUAAAGGGUCCGUAGGGGGUUAUGUAAGUCUGAUGUGAAAUACUAAGGCUCAACCUUGGAACUGCAUUGGAUACUGCAUGACUAGAGUAUCGGAGAGGUAAGCAGAAUUCCUGGUGUAGCGGUGGAAUGCGUAGAUAUCAGGAGGAAUACCGAUGGCGAAGGCAGCUUACUGGACGAUCACUGACCCUGAGGGACGAAAGCUGGGGGAGCGAACAGGAUUAGAUACCCUGGUAGUCCCAGCUGUAAACGUUGUACACUAGGUGUAGGCAGAUUUGACCCUGUCUGUGCCCAAGCUAACGCGUUAAGUGUACCGCCUGGGGAGUACGGCCGCAAGGCUA
rnacentral:rRNA from 1 species